UGGGCAACCUGCCCUCAGCUCUGGGAUAACUCCAAGAAAUUGGGGCUAAUACCGGAUAUGACCGCUGACCGCAUGGUCUGGUGGUGGAAAGAUUUAUCGGCUGGGGAUGGGCCCGCGGCCUAUCAGCUUGUUGGUGGGGUAGUGGCCCACCAAGGCGACGACGGGUAGCCGGCCUGAGAGGGUGACCGGCCACACUGGGACUGAGACACGGCCCAGACUCCUACGGGA
rnacentral:rRNA from 1 species